AGCUGGUCCCAGUGCAGUGGUGUUUAAGACUAAUUAAUCACAACCAGGUAGAGUUUCUUUGUUCCUUCUCAAUUCCCACUGCUUGACUACUAUUA
rnacentral:Y_RNA from 1 species